UGAGUGAAACUCAGAGCCUCAGGUGUCUUCCUGUGAAAGUCCCAGGCCAGCGCGCCAGUCUCGACACAUCAGCCCAUGAGCGACACAGGCAUCGUGGAUUCAGGAGGACGGUGCCCGUGGCCAGGACAUUCACAGAGUAGACUAUUCUUCCUCAGUAAAAUGUACCAUUUGAUAUUGACCGAGGGGUGAAAGAGGCCUGGUCAGUCCAUACACAAGUCACCGUUCCUGCCAUCCACGCGUGGGACCGUUAUUUCCAUCAAUGGUCACCCUUCACAGAAGUAUGCGUCUGGCUGGGAAAGGCCUGUGCCCGAGGGUGGGUGGCCUCAAUUAAUUAUUACAGCAGGCUGCCCUUUGGGGGCGCUGGACACGCCCGCCCUGGGAGGGUGAGCUCCCGCUUUGGUUUGUGAUGAAGGCAACAGCUCCUGGGAGCUCACGUUCCAGAUGACCCCUUUCUGUCUGGAGGCAGCUGCUCGGGGUGGCUCUGUGCUCGCUGGGGCACAGGGUCUCAGCCUCGGCUUUGAGCUGGGCUCUGGAAGGUGCACCGACCCUUCAGCCUGCUGCCAGCGGAGGGGCCCUUUCUCCAGGCAGCUUCACUCCCCGCUCCUGCCAGCUCUGCCCUUUGCCACCAGCCCCUGGGCCUAGGCCCUUGACUGGGACAGGUCAGUUCUGAAGAAGGUUUCCUGGCAGCUGCCCGCCCGCUGGGACACUUGGGCCCUUUCCCAUGUCUGGCUUCAAUAGGUCAGACGACUGCCCCAUCACGCAGGCCACUCCAACAAGUCUGGGUGGGGAGAAGGUCGUCAGAGAGGAGGAUGCUGGUCCCCGGAGGGUGACAGGACGGAGAAAGUCACAGCUCAAAGGUGCAGAGAUAGCAUUUGGCUAACCCAGUGUCUGUUUAUGAUGAUAAAUAAAACUCUCAGAAAAGGAGGAAUAGAAAAGAACUUUUCAACUCAAUAAAUUACGUCUACUCAAAAUUGAUGGCUAGCAUCAUUUAUGUAAGAAAAUGAAAUGCCUUCUCUUUGUGAUCAGGAACAAGGCAGGAGUGUCUGUUCUUGCGCUUCUAUUUAACGUUGGACAACAAAGUGACAAGGAGCAAUGACACUCAUCCAGAGCAGGAAAGAAGAAAGGCCAUCAAAUGCACAGGUGACGAGGUCCUCUGUAUAGAAAAUCCUGAAACCUCUAUAAAAAGCUGCCACAACCACCCAGUCCGUUUGUCACAGUUGCAGAGGAGCGGAAGACGGUUGCAUUUCUCUACCUGAACAAGAAUCAAAUGGAAAUUCAAGUUUUAAAAAGCAUUAUUUACAAUAGCAUCAAAAAUAGGAAAUACUGUGAAAUAAGUUUAACAGAAAUGUGCAAAAGCACAAACUGUACGGGAGUUAAAGAAGAUUUCCCUUAACGGGAUGUUGUACCAUGUUCACUAAUCAGAAGAUUCAACACUGUUUGGAUGUCAGUUCUCAAACUGACUGUGAUUCAAUACAAUCUCAAACAUUCUAACUGCUUUGGGAGGUAGAAACCACGAAACUGGUUUUAUGCUUCUACAAAAAGUACAAGGGACCUACAAUAGCCAAAAGAAGAAAAAAAAAAACUGAAGAAAGGAAAAAGACCAUGGUUGGAGGACUGACUCCACCUGGUUUCCGCAGAGAGGACGCAGACUGUGACGCUGGAACCAGGACAGCCACGCAGGUAGAGGGACAGAGUGGAGAGCCCGGGGAGACGCAAGAGGAAGAGCGAGAACCCAUUGGAGGAAAGGACAGCCUCUGAGCAUGGACUGCGACUGGAUACUAUGGACCAACCCCAAGCUUCACCCUGGCCUCACACCACAUACCGAGUUCCCAGGCCGGCCAGCUGGUUUUUGUGAAUUUUCAUCCCUUUUUUAAUGGGAUGCAGGGGAAGUCCCUCCACCAGGCUAAUUCUGGGCUUUACCCAAGUUCCCAGCUUUAAAAAACACACACAACUGAGGGUCGGAGAGAUUAAUGAACUUGUCCAAAGUGGGAGCUACUCUGGAGGAACCCAUUUGGUCUCUGGCUUCCUGCCCCCGAGGUCUGCAGGCCUACCCGUGGGCGUCUGCUUCCUGGGACCCCUGCCACUCAAGCCCACUCCAGGAAAAGGAUGCAGAGAAGUGGCCGCCAGGACUUCAGCUGCUGGGCUGACCUGAGAGGAAAGAAAAACAGCGUGAGUCAGGCUGGUGCGGAGGGAGGGAGGGAGGCUGCGUCCGCCGUUGCACCGGCUGGGAGUGCGGCAGUGCGUCCUGCAGCGGCGUCUCCAGGGGGGCCUCCAUCCGGUCAGAACCACCUGCGUCCAGAGCAUCACAGCUCCCACGGUGAGCUGGCCAGAUGCCCCGCGGGCGUUCCGACACGCUGCUGCCCCUGCACCACGACAGCCAUGAAAAUCACCCUGUCACAACCACAGAUAACACUUGUACGGUCUCACAUUUGUCCAAGAGCGUUUUGCAGCCACACAAAAUGGAAGGAAGCAGGCUCCCUGCAAACCUGGCCCA